rnacentral:rRNA from 1 species
CACGUAGGCUGUUUGGUAAGUCAGGGGUGAAAUCCCGCGGCUCAACCGCGGAAUUGCCCUUGAUACUGCUGGACUUGAGUCCGGGAGAGGGUGGCGGAAUUCCAGGUGUAGGAGUGAAAUCCGUAGAUAUCUGGAGGAACAUCAGUGGCGAAGGCGGCCACCUGGACCGGUACUGACGCUGAGGUGCGAAAGCGUGGGGAGCAAACA